rnacentral:rRNA from 1 species
UACGAAGGGGGCUAGCGUUGCUCGGAAUCACUGGGCGUAAAGCGCACGUAGGCGGGUUGCUAAGUCAGGGGGUGAAAUCCUGGAGCUCAACUCCAGAACUGCCUUUGAUACUGGCGGCCUUGAGUCCGGGAGAGGUGAGUGGAACUGCGAGUGUAGAGGUGAAAUUCGUAGAUAUUCGCAAGAACACCAGUGGCGAAGGCGGCUCACUGGCCCGGUACUGACGCUGAGGUGCGAAAGCGUGGGGAGCAAACAGG